rnacentral:rRNA from 1 species
AUAAGCGGAGGAAAAGAAACCAACAGGGAUUGCCUUAGUAACGGCGAGUGAAGCGGCAAUAGCUCAAAUUUGAAAUCUGGCCCUUUCCUGGGGUCCGAGUUGUAAUUUGUAGAGGGUGCUUUAGCGUUGGUCCCAACCUAAGUUCCUUGGAACAGGACGUCAUAGAGGGUGAGAACCCCGUAUGUGGUUGAUGAUCUUCGCUGUAUAAAGCCCCUUCGACGAGUCGAGUUGUUUGGGAAUGCAGCUCUAAAUGGGAGGUAAAUUUCUUCUAAAGCUAAAUAUUGGCCAGAGACCGAUAGCGCACAAGUAGAGUGAUCGAAAGAUGAAAAGCACUUUGGAAAGAGAGUCAAAAAGCACGUGAAAUUGUUGAAAGGGAAGCGCUUGCAGCCAGACUUACCUGUAGUUGCUCAUCUGGGCAUUUGUCCAGUGCACUCUUCUGCUGGUAGGCCAGCAUCAGUUCUGGCGGUCGGAUAAAGGCUCUGGGAAUGUAGCUCCCUUUGGGGAGUGUUAUAGCCCAGGGUGCAAUGCGGCCAGCUGGGACUGAGGUCCGCGCAUCUGCUAGGAUGCUGGCAUAAUGGCUGUAAGCGGCCCGUCUUGAAACACGGACCAAGGAGUCUAACAUCUAUGCGAGUGUUUGGGUGGAAAGCCCGAGCGCGUAAUGAAAGUGAACGGAGGUGGGAACCCUCACGGGUGCACCAUCGACCGAUCCUGAUGUCUUCGGAUGGAUUUGAGUAAGAGCAUAGCUGUUGGGACCCGAAAGAUGGUGAACUAUGCCUGAAUAGGGUGAAGCCAGAGGAAACUCUGGUGGAGGCUCGCAGCGGUUCUGACGUGCAAAUCGAUCGUCAAAUUUGGGCAUAGGGGCGAAAGACUAAUCGAACUAUCUAGUAGCUGGUUCCUGCCGAAGUUUCCCUCAGGAUAGCAGUAACGUUUUCAGUUUUAUGAGGUAAAGCGAAUGAUUAGAGGCCUGGGGGUUGAAACAACCUUCACCUAUUCUCAAACUUUAAAUAUGUAAGAAGUCCUUGUUACUUAAUU